CUGGUUGUACAUACUUUGCAUACU
rnacentral:piRNA from 1 species